ensembl:lncRNA
AAGAAAUGAAAAGGAUAUUAAUUCAGUGUUUUAGUGUGUCAAUACAGGUGGACUCUCCUCAACCUGAAAACGUGAGUACAGCAGCAAAAGCAUAGAUUAACAGAAUUGGGAUGAAAACAGGCUUUGGCUUAAAAUUUGACAGCUUCACCUCUCAUUGUCUCCUUAUCCUGAGAAGAAGGUUAAAGGACAGUCAAUCUCCUAAUGAAGACAGAAGACAGACAGAACAACACCGUGGACUUGAAGAAUUAACAGCAGGCAAAAAGACUGAACUAUAACACUGACGACUCCAGCAGCAGCAUGUAAGAAAGCACGUGAUGCAACAUGCAUGCUGAUUUGGGCCUGUGUUGAGCUGCGAGGCCCCACAGGAAACUGAGAACAGUGAGAGCACAUACCUCCGCCUGCUCCCUACUCUCACUGCAGAUCACAAUCUCGUCUGCAAACAUCAUAGUCCACGGAGACUCCUGCCUGUCCUCGUCUUUCAACCUGUCCAUCACUCUUGUAAACAAGGAGCUUAGAGCAGAUCCCUGAUGCAAUCCCACCCCCACCUUGAGCACAUCUGUAACUCCACCUCACCAUUCUCGCUGUUAUCAUAUAUGAGCUGCACCACUCUCACAUACUUCUCUCCCACUCCUGACUUCCUCCUGCUGUACCACAGCUACUCUCUUGACACCCUAUCACAUGCUUUCUCUAGAUCCACAAAGACAAAGUGCAACUCCUUCUGACCUCCUCCAGACUUCUCCAUCAACACCCUGAAAGCAAACACUCCAUCUGUAGUGCUCUUUCUCAGCAUGAAGUCAGACCGCUGCUCACUGAUAAUCACCAACCUUCGUGAUGACAUUAACAUCACGCUGGGAAUGCAGUGUACUAGCUUACAUUGGCAAUCAAUAUGUGACUGGAAGAAAAUGUCUUCAGAGAUGAUGAAGUCAAAACCAUUUUGGUUAUAAUUGCAAGAAAUGAAGAAAUACAUGAUGGAACUAAUGUAGGUCUGAAAUCAAUGAACCCAGUUAUUCCACACUGUUAUGCUGCAUAAUUAAAGUGCUGUGAAAACUCUGUUAUCCCAAAUCCAUCACCCUCCAACCUUAAUUUUGCCCCCCCUCCACCUGCCAUUGUUCUCAUUUUUACAACACCAUUAUUAUUUUCAUACGACUGUUGUCCUUUAAAGUGUGUCCAUAACAUGCAUUAUGUAAACGCUGUGAAAAAUAUGUGAAGAUGAAUUUGCCUUCAGCACACUGAUUUAGACUGCUUGAUUUCUUCCUGAGACAAAAUUCUGACAUCCUCCUAAAAUGUCAUGCAGUGCCCGGGACUUCAUCUUUCUUAAAAGAAAAACACAAGUGAGCACUGAGUUUUGUACUGAUUAUGAAAAACGACUUUGACAUGAAUGGAACGUAUCCCAGAUGACACUAACAUCUGUACUAUAAACAUGUUGAAAACAGCAGCUUCUGCUAGUGACUUUCUCAGCUAAAAUGAAGACA